rnacentral:lncRNA from 1 species
GCUGCUCUGCGAAGCCGCUACACAGAUGGUGGCUUUGGCCUAGGCCACUUCUCUUCACCCUUGACGCGAGGGGUGGACUGCCCCUACCUGGCCACAUAUGUCGACUGGCACUUCCUUUUGGAGUCCCAGACCCCCAAGACAAUACAUGAUGCCUUUUGUGUGUUUGAACAGAAUCAGGGCCUCCCCCUGCGGCGACAUCACUCAGAUUUCAACUCCUA